CCUACGGGAGGCAGCAGUGGGGAAUAUUGCACAAUGGGGGGAACCCUGAUGCAGCAACGCCGCGUGGGUGAAGAAGUACUUCGGUAUGUAAAGCCCUGUCAGCAGGGAAGAAAAUGACGGUACCUGACCAAGAAGCCCCGGCUAACUACGUGCCAGCAGCCGCGGCAAUACGUAGGGGGCAAGCGUUAUCCGGAGUUAUUGGGGUUAAAGGGUGCGUAGGCUGUGAGGUAAGUCAGCGGUGAAAUACCCCCGCUCAACGGGGUGAAGUGCCAUUGAUACUGCCUUGCUGGAGUGCGGAUGCCGUGGGAGGAAUGUGUGGUGUAGCGGUGAAAUGCAUAGAUAUCACACAGAACACCGAUUGCGAAGGCAUCUCACGGAUCCGCGAUUGACGCUGAUGCACGAAAGCGUGGGUAUCAAACAGGAUUAGAUACCCGGGUAGUC
rnacentral:rRNA from 1 species